rnacentral:lncRNA from 1 species
CUGAACCAGUACCUCAGCUUGAGGAGAGGAGAGCCCAGGUACUGGUUCAGGUGAGUACUGAACCAGAACCUCAGCUUGAGGAGAGGAGAGGAGAGCCCAGGUACUGGUUCAGGUGAGUACUGAACCAGAACCUCAGCUUGAGGAGAGGAGAGCCCAGGUACUGGUCCAGGUGAGUACUGAACCAGAACCUCAGCUUGAGGAGAGGAGAGCCCAGGUACUGGUCCAGGUGAGUACUGAACCAGAACCUCAGCUUGAGGAGAGGUAGUAGUAGUAGCAGCUAGCUAACAGUAGUAGUAGUAGUAGUAGUAGUAGCAGCUAGCUAACAGUAGUAGUAGUAGUAGUAGUAGUAGUAGCAGCUAGCUAACAGUAGUAGUAGUAGUAGUAGUAUAGUAGUAGUAGUAGUAGUAGUAGUAGUAGCAGCUAGCUAACAGUAGUAGUAGUAGUAGUAGCAGCUAGCUAACAGUAGUAGUAGUAGCAGCUAGCUAACAGUAGUAGUAGUAGCAGCUAGCUAACAGUAGUAGUAGUAGCAGCUAGCUAACAGUAGUAGUAGUAGCAGCUAGCUAACAGUAGUAGUAGUAGUAAUAGCAGCUAGCUAACAGUAGUAGUAGUAGUAAUAGC